rnacentral:lncRNA from 1 species
AGACUGCUUAGCAAUGCUGGAAUCUUGGAGACAUCAGCAUGCUUAUGUCACAAGCCACAUCUGUCACUGCAGGAUUUGUGUUUGUCCUCACGUUAAUAAUAACUGAUGGAGGCACCAAGUCGCCUUCCCUUAAAAGCAAGGAGUCUGAAUAUCAGUUUGGGAAGAGGUGCUUCAAAGAUCAAACCAGGCCCAUGACAGUGACAUGUACAGAGAGGAAGAAACCGGACAGCUGAGGAAGGCUAAAGAAUGAAGACUGGACUCUCAUAAGACACCCAGCUGGGAACAAAUAAACUGUAUGGAUUGACAGAGACAGUUCUCAGGAUAUGAGCUGGGACGGGGGGGGGGGGAACUCUGCAUGAAUUCACCAAUACCCUCACUCCUGGGAAGCUAUACAAGGCAUCCAGGGACACUUAAAGAGGCUUAUAGAAAAUGGAAUCUGGGUCAAAUGCCACUCUUCCUAGAACACCCUGCUUUUGCUGGUAUGUAAACCAGGGACUAAUAAAUAUAAGCCAGUACAAGACCUGUGUGCUAUAAAUCAGGCUACUGAAUCAUACACCCAAUGGUGCAAACCCAUAUGCACUAAUGGGACUCAUUCCAGCACAUGCUGUCUUGAUCACUUGCCUGGACUUGAAAGAUGCCUUUUUCUGUCUGUGCUUAACACCAAUCAGUCAACUCAUUUUUAUAUUUCAAUAGAAGGACCCAAUUACUGACAUUAA